UACGGGGGCAGCAGUGGGGAAUAUUGCACAAUGGGCGCAAGCCUGAUGCAGCCAUGCCGCGUGUAUGAAGAAGGCCUUCGGGUUGUAAAGUACUUUCAGCAGUGAGGAAGGUGGGUAUGUUAAUAGCAUACUCAUUUGACGUUAGCUGCAGAAGAAGCACCGGCUAACUCCGUGCCAGCAGCCGCGGUAAUACGGAGGGUGCGAGCGUUAAUCGGAAUUACUGGGCGUAAAGCGCAUGCAGGUGGUUUGUUAAGUCAGAUGUGAAAGCCCGGGGCUCAACCUCGGAAUUGCAUUUGAAACUGGCAAACUAGAGUACUGUAGAGGGGGUAGAAUUUCAGGUGUAGCGGUGAAAUGCGUAGAGAUCUGAAGGAAUACCGGUGGCGAAGGCGGCCCCCUGGACAGAUACUGACACUCAGAUGCGAAAGCGUGGGGAGCAAACAGGAUUAGAUACCCUGGUAG
rnacentral:rRNA from 1 species